rnacentral:rRNA from 1 species
CCUACGGGAGGCAGCAGUGGGGAAUUUUGGACAAUGGGCGCAAGCCUGAUCCAGCCAUGCCGCGUGCAGGAUGAAGGCCUUCGGGUUGUAAACUGCUUUUGUACGGAACGAAAAGGUUUGGCCUAAUAAGCUGAGCUCAUGACGGUACCGUAAGAAUAAGCACCGGCUAACUACGUGCCAGCAGCCGCGGUAAUACGUAGGGUGCGAGCGUUAAUCGGAAUUACUGGGCGUAAAGCGUGCGCAGGCGGUUAUGUAAGACAGAUGUGAAAUCCCCGGGCUCAACCUGGGAACUGCAUUAGUGACUGCAUAGCUGGAGUACGGCAGAGGGGGAUGGAAUUCCGCGUGUAGCAGUGAAAUGCGUAGAUAUGCGGAGGAACACCGAUGGCGAAGGCAAUCCCCUGGGCCUGUACUGACGCUCAUGCACGAAAGCGUGGGGAGCAAACAGGAUUAGAUGCCCUGGUAGUCCACGCCCUAAACGAUGUCAACUGGUUGUUGGGUCUUCACUGACUCAGUAACGAAGCUAACGCGUGAAGUUGACCGCCUGGGGAUACGGCCGCAAGGUUGAAACUCAAAGGAUUGACGGCGNGAGAGNGCGACGGACGACGACGAGGGAGGAGG